rnacentral:rRNA from 1 species
UACGUAGGGUGCAAGCGUUGUCCGGAAUUAUUGGGCGUAAAGAGCUCGUAGGCGGUCUGUCGCGUCGGAUGUGAAAACCCAGGGCUCAACCCUGGGCCUGCAUUCGAUACGGGCAGACUAGAGUGUGGUAGGGGAGACUGGAAUUCCUGGUGUAGCGGUGAAAUGCGCAGAUAUCAGGAGGAACACCGGUGGCGAAGGCGGUUCUCUGGGCAUUACCUGACGCUGAGGAGCGAAAGUGUGGGGAGCGAACAGG